rnacentral:rRNA from 1 species
CCUACGGGAGGCAGCAGUGGGGGAUAUUGCACAAUGGGGGAAACCCUGAUGCAGCGACGCCGCGUGUGGGAAGACGGUCCUCUGGAUUGUAAACCACUGUCCCCAGGGACGAAGAUGACGGUACCUGGGGAGGAAGCUCCGGCUAACUACGUGCCAGCAGCCGCGGUAAUACGUAGGGAGCGAGCGUUGUCCGGAAUUACUGGGUGUAACGGGAGCGUAGGCGGGACUGCAAGUUGGGUGUCAAAUCUACCGGCUCAACCGGUAGCCGCACUCAAAACUGCAGUUCUUGAGUGAAGUAGAGGCAGGCGGAAUUCCUAGUGUAGCGGUGAAAUGCGUAGAUAUUAGGAGGAACACCAGUGGCGAAGGCGGCCUGCUGGGCUUUUACUGACGCUGAGGCUCGAAAGUGUGGGGAGCAAACAGGAUUAGAUACCCGUGUAGUC